UGCACUGCCAUGGCUUCUAGAAGCUUUUGAGGAUGCAUUUCUUGUUCUGCUACUUCAUUUCUAUGGCAUUUUAUGUGUCUGUGACACAAUUGUUAGAUUUCUUGAUUAGCUGAAGCCCAGAAUUCAGAGAUUUCAUGAGUUCUUUGUAUGGAACAGAUCUCCACACAGGGAGAAACCUGACAUUUGAUAAAGAUCUGUUCCUUCAGCGGCAACGUGAGCUGCUAUAACAGUGGCUACACAAAAGACUCCUGUAAGAAUUACCAAACCAGAGGUUUAAAGCUAUUUUUGCUUCAAUAUUCUGUAUCAAAGAGGAUAUUUAAUAAAGGAAUAUUGUGAA